rnacentral:rRNA from 1 species
GAUGAACGCUGGCGGCGUGCCUAAUACAUGCAAGUCGAGCGAACAGACGAGGAGCUUGCUCCUCUGACGUUAGCGGCGGACGGGUGAGUAACACGUGGAUAACCUACCUAUAAGACUGGGAUAACUUCGGGAAACCGGAGCUAAUACCGGAUAAUAUAUUGCACCGCAUGGUUCAAUAGUGAAAGACGGCUUUGCUGUCACUUAUAGCUGGAUCCGCGCCGCAUUAGCUAGUUGGUAAGGUAACGGCUUACCAAGGCGACGAUGCGUAGCCGACCUGAGGGGGUGAUCGGCCACACUGGAACUGAGACACGGUCCAGACUCCUACGGGAGGCAGCAGUAGGGAAUCUUCCGCAAUGGGCGGAAGCCUGACGGAGCAACGCCGCGUGAGUGAUGAAGGUCUUCGGAUCGUAAAACUCUGUUAUUAGGGAAGAACAAAUGUGUAAGUAACUAUGCACGUCUUGACGGUACCUAAUCAGAAAGCCACGGCUAACUACGUG